UACAGAGGUCUCAAGCGUUGUUCGGAUUCAUUGGGCGUAAAGGGUGCGUAGGCGGCGUGGCAAGUCUGGUGUGAAAUCCCGGGGCUCAACUCCGGAACUGCACUGGAUACUGCCUUGCUAGAGUACUGGAGAGGGAACUGGAAUUUACGGUGUAGCAGUGAAAUGCGUAGAUAUCGUAAGGAAGACCAGUGGCGAAGGCGAGUUCCUGGACAGUAACUGACGCUGAGGCACGAAGGCUAGGGGAGCAAACGGG
rnacentral:rRNA from 1 species